GAUGAAGAACGUAGCGAAAGGCGAUACGUAGUGUGAAUUACAGAAUUCAGUGAAUCAUCGAAUCUUUGAACGCACAUUGCACCUCUCGGUAUUCCGGGAGGUAUGCCUGUUCGAGCGUCAUUUGUACCCUCAAGCUCUGCUUGGUGUUGGGUGUUUGUUCCGCCUCUGUGUGUGAACUCGCCUCAAAACAAUUGGCAGCCGGCGUACUUGUUUCGGAGCGCAGCACAUUUUGCGAUCCAGAUCAACGUACAGCGGCAUCCAAGAAGCCUUAUUUAACGCUCUUGACCUCGGAUCAGGUAGGGAUACCCGCUGAACUUAAGCAUAUCAAUAAGCGGAGGA
rnacentral:misc_RNA from 1 species